AAGGCCUGAAAUAUUUUCAUACACAUCUCAGCGAGAUAAGAUAUGGCAUAUUAUUUUCAUUUUACAAAUAGAAAAAUUGAGAAAUGAUUAAGUUAAGUGAAAGUCAUCGGCUGGAAAUACUUAAAUCACCAGAAACUACAGUGAAAAUGAAGUCAUUCUGGACUCUACCUUGAAGUGAAGUCAGAACUACACGAACUAUCCAAGAUGUUUGUUUUGGCCGCAUUCAAGACUGGAAUUGAAGGCAUAUCAUUCACAGGUUCAGCUACAAUAGAAGAUGCAAGCCUCAAAAUGAUGAACACCUACUACCUCCUUGUGGACGAACGACACGAGGCUGCACAAACGAGGGCUUCACAACUUCGAACCACCAGAAGAGCUCGGCCAUGAACACCAAAUAAUUACUCUACGUAAGAGAGUUAAGAAAAAGAGAAAAGU